rnacentral:ncRNA from 1 species
AUAGGGAAUGAAGUUCUCCCCUGGGCAACCUAAACUGCUUUUAUAGCUGAUGACUUCUACGAUU